AGUGAACGCUGGCGGUAGGCCUAACACAUGCAAGUCGAACGGCAGCACAGUAAGAGCUUGCUCUUACGGGUGGCGAGUGGCGGACGGGUGAGGAAUACAUCGGAAUCUACUUUUUCGUGGGGGAUAACGUAGGGAAACUUACGCUAAUACCGCAUACGACCUACGGGUGAAAGCAGGGGAUCUUCGGACCUUGCGCGAUUGAAUGAGUCGAUGUCGGAUUAGCUAGUUGGCGGGGUAAAGGCCCACCAAGGCGACGAUCCGUAGCUGGUCUGAGAGGAUGAUCAGCCACACUGGAACUGAGACACGGUCCAGACUCCUACGGGAGGCAGCAGUGGGGAAUAUUGGACAAUGGGCGCAAACCUGAUCCAGCCAUACCGCGUGGGUGAAGAAGGCCUUCGGGUUGUAAAGCCCUUUUGUUGGGAAAGAAAAGCAGCAGGUUAAUACCCCGCUGUUCUGACGGUACCCAAAGAAUAAGCACCGGCUAACUUCGUG
rnacentral:rRNA from 1 species